AGACAGGGUAGAGAUGGAAGGAAGACAGGGGAGAGAUGGUAAUGAGACAGGGUAGAGAUGGAAGGGAGACAGGGGAGAGAUGGAAGGGAGACAGGGGAGAGAUGGUAGGGAGACAGGGGAGAGAUGGAAGGGAGACAGGGGAGAGAUGGUAAUGAGACAGGGGAGAGAUGGUAAUGAGACAGGGGAGAGAUGGUAAUGAGACAGGGAGAGAUGGUAAUGAGACAGGGGAGAGAUGGAAGGGUAGAGAUGGAAGGGUAGAGAUGGAAGGGUAGAGAUGGAAGGGUAGAGAUGGAAGGGAGACAGGGGAGAGAUGGUAGGGAGACAGGGUAGAGAUGGAAGGGAGACAGGGGAGAGAUGGUAGUGAGACAGGGGAGAUAUGGAAGGGAGACAGGGGAGAGAUGGGAGGGAGACAGGGGAGAGAUGGAAGGGAGACAGGGGAGAGAUGGAAGGGAGACAAGGUAGAGAUGGUAGGGAGACAGGGGAGAGAUGGAAGGGAGACAGGGGAGAGAUGGAAGGAGACAUGGGAGAUAUGGAAGGGAGACAGGGUAGAGAUGGAAGGGAGACAGGGGAGAGAUGGAAGGGAGACAGGGGAGAGAUGGAAGGGAGACAGGGGAGAGAUGGAAGGGUAGAGAUGGAAGGAGUCAGGGUAGAGAUGGUAGGGAGACAGGGGAGAGAUGCUAGGGAGACAGGGUAGAGAUGGAAGG
ensembl:lncRNA